rnacentral:rRNA from 1 species
CACGUAGGGUGUGAGCGUUGUCCGGAAUUAUUGGGCGUAAAGAGCUCGUAGGCGGUGUGUCGCGUCGGCCGUGAAAACCUGGGGCUUAACUCUGGGCUUGCGGUCGAUACGGGCAUCACUGGAGUUCGGCAGGGGAGACUGGAAUUCCUGGUGUAGCGGUGAAAUGCGCAGAUAUCAGGAGGAACACCGGUGGCGAAGGCGGGUCUCUGGGCCGAUACUGACGCUGAGGAGCGAAAGCGUGGGGAGCGAACAGG